GUAGCGAGCAGCACAUCGACUGGACAAGAUGAGGAUCGUAACGGUAAUUUUCCUGAUCGUCCUGGCGUUGUCUCUGGUCAUGGCGAUGCCGGCGGGAUCAGACUCAGACCCGACGGACGGCGACGAGGACACCAGAUCCAACCUGUUCCUGCUCAAGAAGAAACUGCUGUUAAAGAAGAAGUUGCUGCUGCUCGGCUGAUAUCCAUAGAUUCGCCAUCAGCUUCGUUUCAACACAUUCGUAGACUACAUUCGCCAUCGCCUCUCCUGUAUAUUCCAUUUUCAUUACUUUCUUUUGUGUAUAUACUGUGCUCCAAAUUGUAAAUAAAUGUGUG